rnacentral:lncRNA from 1 species
AAUUAAGUUGACCAUGCAUUUCUGAAAUCAUCAACUUAAUUAAUUGUUACCUUUCACUAGAUUUUUGAAUUCUUUGGAGAAGUUAUCAACAUGGCCAAAAACUGGAUGGAUCCUGCAAACCUGAACUAUGCAUAGCAGCAGUAGGCACAGCUUCUUGACUUCAUCAGGAACCUCUCUGUAAUUAUCUCAAAGCUCAGCGACAAUCGCUGUGGCUUGGUCAUGCAUGUAAAGAAAAAAAUACAAAUUGUAGUACCAGUCGCAGAGAAGGGCAGAAACAAAAAGAAAAACACACUGUUAGUAUUCUCUUAGUUAUCCUACCUGUUAGACCAAGCAAAAUCUUUGGCUCUGGAAGCCAGUGAAAUGAGCUAGAUCUACAUAUUCCACUUCUUCUGCCCUUUUAACAACAUCCUCAGCUUGUAAACACAGAAAAUUCAACAACAGAGAAGCCACUCUAUAAAUUUGCAACGCAGCCGAAUCUGUAAAGUGUGAUUGAGGAACAGAUCCAUGUUGCUUCGUCGUGUAUCCUCAAUUAGUGUCUCCUC